rnacentral:rRNA from 1 species
GUGGGGAAUAUUGCGCAAUGGGCGAAAGCCUGACGCAGCGACGCCGCGUGAGGGAUGACGGCCUUCGGGUUGUAAACCUCUUUCAGUGCCGACGAAGCGAAAGUGACGGUAGGUACAGAAGAAGCACCGGCCAACUACGUGCCAGCAGCCGCGGUAAUACGUAGGGUGCGAGCGUUGUCCGGAAUUAUUGGGCGUAAAGAGCUCGUAGGCGGUUUGUUGCGUCGGCUGUGAAAACUCGGGGCUUAACUCUGAGCUUGCAGUCGAUACGGGCAGACUUGAGUUCGGCAGGGGAGACUGGAAUUCCUGGUGUAGCGGUGAAAUGCGCAGAUAUCAGGAGGAACACCGGUGGCGAAGGCGGGUCUCUGGGCCGAUACUGACGCUGAGGAGCGAAAGCGUGGGGAGCGAACAGG